CCAUGUGUGGUGAGUUGUUGCAUAAUGCCUUGUGUUUGCUUUUGCCACCUAGAACUUACCCGGUUGGUCUUGAAAUGUUGGUCUUGAAUGAGUUUGGUUGGAGAAAUGAUCUUAGGCUUUCUUUAAUAUCUUGAAGUCCACUUGGCCUAAAAAUCCCACCUUUGUACUAAAUAUAUCCUUAGUUGUCCCCUUUGAGCUUAAUCCUUUUUAUUGGCAACCACAUUACAAGCCUUAUCCUUUUUGAAAAGGUAACCCUCUUUUGAACCCUUCCCUCCUUGAACUUGAGGUUGUGAAAGUUGAGGCUAAAAGCCUAAGUUGGGGGUGUUAUGGGAAAUUUAUUGAAGGGGUGUUUACUAAUGAAGGCAUGAUAUAAAAAAAAUAAAAAAGAAGAAGAAUGAAAUUGAGGGAUGGAUGGAAAAAGAAAGAAAGAAAAUGAAUAAAUGAGUCUUGAAUCCUCCAAAAGUUGAAAAUGGCUGCAUGUGGAGCAUCUAAAGUGGAAAUAAAAAAAGAAAAAUGAAAAAUAGUGUGGAAUGUGCAUGGGUUUGAAAAAUGGAGAAUGUUGGAAAUGAUGAGUUGUUGUGUAGUGUUCAAGGAGGGUGUAGUCACUUAUACCUAAAUUAUAUCCUAACCUUCCCUAAGCCUAUAUUACAAGCUUAACAAAGUCCUUUGAGAUUUCUAACCAAAUGGAGUUUAGUCAAUGUUGAUUGAAAAUAUGGGCAAGCCUAUGGUGUGACAUUUGUGUGCAUGAGAUAAUUCUUUGUGAGUGUGAGUGUUGCAUCUUUGUCCCUUGUCUUGUUUAUGCAUGUUUGGUUUCGGGACACUUCUUUCUUCUGAGGGCAUGUAAGUUUAAAAAGUGGUGAUUUUGAAGAUUCCUAAUUAAGUCAAGUGAGCAUGUGAAAGAGUUAAUGAGUUGAGUCAUUUCUUGAGUUUGGGUUGUUGCCACUUAAAUGAUUCUUGAUUUUUGAAAAUGUUUCAUGAGAAUGAGAGGAUUCUUUUAUGAAAAAUUUGCAUGUGGACUAAUUGUUAUUACCAACCAAAGCCAUUACCUUUGUGCUUAAUUGAGAAUGGGAAAUUGAUUUGUGGUGUAUCUUGAAAUACGAGUCUCUUGUGUUUUAGAUUUUCUUGACCUGAGGAAAAACAAAGUUUCUAAGUUGGGGGGGUUGAUGAGUGGUUGAUUUCCACUCAUUUGAGGCUCUUUUGGUUGUUAUUUUGUCUUUUAGUUUAUAAUUGGUGCUUUUAAUGUUUUUUUUUCAUAUUUGCACGUAAAUGAAAUGGAGGUUCUUAGAAAAUGUUGAAGGUGCAGGGUUAGCACCAUUCAAUUAUUAGCUUUGUUUUAGAGGAAUCAAAACAAUGGCAGAAAAUGCUUCCACCGUCUUCAAUGUUCACGUGCCGGAGUUUGUGGAUGCUAUUUGGGUUGCUCUGAGGGAUCCAACGUUGGCUGUUCGGGAGAAGGCUGUUGAGACAUUGUGUGCCUGCGUUCGUGUUAUUGAAAAGUGUGAGACAAGAUGGUGUGUUCAGUGGUAUGUCUAUUUCUCUCUCCUCCCUUAUAGUUUUUUAGAAAAUGUCAUUAACAUUUUAACAAUAUGUAAAAGAAUGUAUCAAUCACAAAUUUCUUGAUCCAAGGCAUCUACUCUUAAAUUGGUGAUUCGACAGGUAUUAUUGAAUGGUUAAGCCUACCCAAGAUGGAUCGGGUUGAAACGCUCAUGUUCAUAGUAUACAUUGAUCUUUUCUCGCAGUUGGGGAGCUGCUAAGGUUUGUUAUCAAAUUGCAUCACAUUAUUUAUUUCAUUGUAGGAAAAUAUUUCAGAGUCUCUUGUGUUGUGUUAAAUUGUUGUGAUCUGCUGAAUGUCUGAGGAACUGGAUACUUAUCUCCUGUUUUACUAGUGAUUUUGAAGUUGAAACUUGAAUAUUUGAAGUUGUGAUUUUCGGACAUGCAUUUUACUUGGAAAAGAAUUGAAGUUUUGUAAAUAGAAGUCCCUAAAAUGCAGAACUUUGAUUUUUUUGGAGGUAAAUGCUAGCUUAAAAUCUCUAGUUAUAUUGUGAGGACUUAAGUACCUCAAGGUUGACGACAUUACAUAUGUGUUUGGGUGCGAAUGCCUACUACCUAUUUGUUUUCUUUUAUAAAGUAAUUAUUAAUGAGGGUAAGAACUCCUGGAUGCAAACCAUAUACCAAAAGGUGUCUACUACCUACUUGCUCUUAUUAGCAAUUGUAUCUAGAAGGCAUUUGUGAUCUAUAGAUUGAUUAAUGAUCUAUGGGGCAAUCUGGGUGUUUCAGUCAUUUAUAGAAACCUAUUUGAGUAUGGUGAGCCGUGGAUAUAAUGCCUUCAGAAUAGGCGCGAGUGAGUGUGAGUCAGUGUUCUUCAUUUCAGUAUUAUGAAAGGCCAUAAACUUGUCCACCAUGAGUAGUUUCAAAAUUCUACUUAUCAGAAAAAAAAGAAGGGCCAAGUCUAAAGAAUUUAUAGAACUUCAAAGUAACCGGAGUGUCUUUUACCUUUAGAGUUUGUGUUACUUCUUAGCUAUUGUUACUGUUAAUCUUGAAAGAUCCCGAAUACAAUAUUUAGCAUGAGAUAUUGGAUGUAGGUCCUGAAUGGUUAAGUAGGCGAUUUAACAAAGAAUAUGUUAUCUCAUUAUCUUUAUAUUUUGUUGAAAAACCUUUCGCGUCUAUACUGGUGAACGGAUAAAUUGCAUUUAUAAAAGGAGUGCAAGUAUAAUUGGAGGGUAUAAUUGAUUUUUAACCAAAAAGAAGAAGUGAGGAAUGUAGACUUUAUUCUGACAAAUCUUUACGUUGGGUAACUUGUACUCUAUAUCUAGAGCAUGACCAGAUGCAGAUUUAACCAAAUGAGUAGUUUUUUGAAAAUACUUUGUAGGCACUAAACCUUCAUGAAUACAGCUAACAUCUGCAACGCUAUCAAUCAUGGCAAUGUUAGUAAUCGAAAAACUGUUAUAAAUUAAAAUAGUACAUUUAAUAUACCAUUUAUGAGCCGUGACAAUUUGCAUCAUUCCUAAAAACAUAUCUUGUUUAGGAUCAGGAUUAACAGGUUGAUCUUCACCUUCAGCUUGUUUUCCUUUGUUUUUUGAAAACCGAUCUUCGAUUCUGAGUAAUACGGUGAUCACAAAUCAAUUGAUUUUGUUUGAGAGAUUUAAUUUCCCUUUUCAGAUUCUCGACUUCAAUUUUUAAAUCAUCGAAAGAAGAAUCUUUUUCAGAAAAAGAAUUUCUUUUUAAAAGACGAUCAUCAACUUCUUUUAAAGAAUAAGGAGCAGAAUAUUCAAAAUCAUCAUUUUUCUUAUUUUCAAAAGGUUUUGAAGAACUUGAACUGGCUUCAUUAGUAACCAAAUUAAUAAUUUUUUCACGAAGCUUACUAUUAGUAAUUUCCUUCAGAAGUUCAAUCACAUUAUCAGAAGUAAUUGUAUUCACAUUUAAAUCUUGAAAUAUGCGACGGUAGCACACAGAUUCCUCUAUCUGUGUUUUUAACACUUUUGCAGAUAAUCGAACAUAGAUUUGGUUGAAACUUUGAAUAGAAGUUUUUGAAGUUGGAGUUGUAUUGGACAUGUAUCGCACUUGCAAAAAGUUGAAGUUCAAUGAGUUGAAAAAAUAUUCACUGAUGUCAAACUUGAAAAACUCAUCUUCAAAAAGUAACCAAAAAAUCAUUCCAAUGCAUAACCAAACAAUGUUUUGAAAAUAAAUUUUGGGAAAAGGUAAAAACUUUCAAAGUGAAAAAGAUUCUAGGAUAGUUGUUGGUUUGUGACGGAGCGGUUUGCCUGUCUCUGAGGUGCUAGUGGGGUGAAGGGAAGGUUCUUAGGUGAUAGAUGGCUGCAUGAAGAGGGUGAUGGUCGAGGUACCUCUACUAGCAAUUGGAGGACAGUUUUUUCUUUGCUGUAUUGCCAUGUAUUUAGUUAUGCUAAUAAGUUCCAUGACUACUUUAGUUUCACGCAUUUAUGUGCCUUUUGUUUUAGUCUCCUUCACAAAGAAUAAUGUUAUAUGGUCUCAAUUCAUAUGCUAUGGGAAUUGGACCCACUAUUAUUUCUUCUUGUGAUAUGAUACGAGCUAAUUUAUCAUCAAAAUGUGCAGGAACACAGGGGAGUUCAUUAUGUCAAGAUACAGGGAGGUUGCUGAAAUUGUUCUAAGAUACCUGGAGCACCGAGAUCGCCUAGUUCGCCUCAGCAUAACUUCUUUACUUCCUCGAAUUACCCAUUUCCUGCGUGAUCGAUUUGUACUAACUAUUUAACGGUUUGUGACAUUUGACUUCAUUUUAGUGAUUUAAUCUGCCUUUACUAACCGGGAUAUCUAAAUGAAUUAAAUUUGCAUCUUCAAUGUUAACUACUGUAACCUCAAGUUUGUUUAUUUUACUUCUACAGAUAUGCAUUAAUCAUAUACCUCAUGUCCUUAAAAUACCUGCAGAAUGUGCCAGUGGGUUCCUUGCUCUUGGGGAGAUGGCAAGUUCUCUAGAUGGUGAACUCAUUAACUAUUUGGCGACAAUAACCUCUCACUUGGGUGAUGUGGUAUGUUAUUUAUGUCAUUGCAGAUGUACUUUUUUUUGUUGGUGAUAAACGUAAUGUUGUAUUCCUCAGUAUUAAGGCUAUGCCGGCAACCUCUAAAAGAUGUGCCCAUAAAUUAAACAAGUAAGAGUAAAAACAGAAGAAGAAAAAACUAAAUACUUACAAAAGCACCAUAAAAUCUACUCAUCAUUCAUCUACUAGUACACCUUUACACUAAAAGUAUGAUGUAUUGAAGCAGAUUUCUUUGAUUGUCUGAACAGGGUUGGUACUAUCCUAAAAAUGUCUAUUGUUUCUUUUCUUCCAAUAGAGUUCUUGAAUCCUAAGGUUCUUUGAUUUCUUCUCUUUCUUUCAAUUAUUUUGUUGAAAAUUGUGGAGUUGGAACAUUUCAGGGAAUCUUGAUGUUGUUCUUUAAUCAUUUGUUGAAUUGGUAAGGAAGUGGAGCCAGACGUGAUUUUCAUAUUGAUAGGAUUGAGGGAAAUUAAGGAUGUAAGACUGUUCAAGAUUUUAGAUAACUCCCAAGUCUUUCUUCUGUUUCAGCCUUUGAAGGUAAGCAAGGUGGAUCAGAGGACGACUAUUUUUAUCUUACACAACUUUAAUUAUUAUUGUGGGUUUCUAUAUGUUUUUUUUUAUCCAGUUUGGUAUCAUGACGCGAUAUUGAAGUGACUGUUCACUGUUUUGUAUACAAGAUUCCUCUUAUAUGCCUCUUGUUAAUUAUUCUUAUUCACUUUCCCCUCCAUCAAUCAAGAGAGAUGGAUAGGUCCUGGUUUUAAAUUUAUAUCAAUCAUGUUGGCGAACUUUUUGGUUUGAAUAAUUAUGUGAAUACCAGGUUUUGUUUGUGUUUGUUUUCAUUCACCUUUCCUGCUUUAUUUUUUAUUAAAGGGUUAGCUGUGGGUUUCUGUCUUAAUCAUAUAACAUUCUGUUUUUGCCGAAUGUUGCUGUUUGAGUUUGAAUGCUAUUGGAUGAUCUCUCUCUGCCUCUUUCCAUUCUUCCUAGUUCCCUCGUCUAAAGUUCUCUUUUAAAUACUUGAGUUGCUUGUGAACCAUGCCAGAAAUCUUAUUUUAAUUUCUUUGGUAGGAGGGGGGCUGCAUUGGUUUUGAGGCAGCUUGUAGAGGAAGAAGCUUGUGAUCUUAGUGGAGAAGGUUUUGCUCAUUUUAUGGAUCAUCUAUAUGAACGCAUUACCACAUUUCUUGAUAGUAAUGAAGUUUCUGAGAAUCUCGGUGCAUUGAGGGAUAUUGACGAGAUAAUAGAUGGCACCAUCAGCGAAAAUGCAUCAAAAGUGACACAAUUCUCCAAUUACAUUCGCGUUGCUUUUGAAACAAAGUGUGAUCCUGAAAUCUUGGUCCUUUGCUAGGUUCUUGGUCAAAAGUUCAGGGAGUUCCUCGUAUUCUCUUUUGAUAUUUGCACUGUGAGAACACAAUCUCAUUUUCUGUUGGGGGUGCCUCCCUUGUAGUCAUUUAGUUGAUUGUUUCUGCAUAUAGUGAUUGUGCCCUUGUCGGACGUACCUUUCUUUCUUUGUUAUGGAUUGGUGUGCCCUUGUCAGGAUUUGAUAUUGUGAAUGUUUAUGUUGAUAUUGUGUUGGAUUGGUCUAUUUUAGUUUUGAUACCUAGUUUGUAGCUUCUUUGUUUUUGUUUUGAUAAAAAGAUUUGGAUUGACGAUGCCCGAUGAUGGAUAGAGCGUGACGACUUUCUUAAGGGUAAAUCGUCGAUUGCUUGUGAGUAUUUGAUUGACGUUGAUUUGAGUAGUUCACGAAUAGAUGCAUGAGGUUGUCUUUUUGUAACUUUUGAUUCGUUAGCAGUUAAAAUGUUCAAUGCUACUUGUAUUUUCAAAAGGAAGUAAGAUUUUGAACCGUCUUGAUUGAUUUGCAGGCCAUGUGUGGUGAGUUAUUGCAUAAUGCCUUGUGUUUGCUUUUGUCACCUAGAACUUGUCCGGUUGGUCUUGAAAUAUUGGUCUUGAAUGAAUUUGGUUGGAGAAAUGAUCUUAGGCUUUCUUUAAUAUCUUGGAGUCCACUUGGCCUAAAAAUCUCACCUUUGUACUAAAUAUAUCCUUAGUUGUCCCCUUUCAGCCUAAUCCUUUUUAUCGGCAACCAUAUUACAAGCCUUAUCCUUUUUGAAAAGGUAACCCUCCUUUGAACCCUUCCCUCCUUGAACUUGAGGUUGUGAAAGUUGAGUCUAAAAGCCUAAGUUGUGGGCGUUAUGGAAAAUUCGUUGAAGGGAUGCUUACCAAAUGAGGGCAUGGUGUAAAAAAAAAAAUAUAAAGAAGAGAGAAAUUGAGGGAUGGAUGGAAAGUUUUAAAGAAAGAAAAAGUUUUGAAAAAGAAAGAAUGAAAAUGAAUAAAUGAGUCUUGAAUCCUCCAAAAUUUGAAAAUGGUUGCAUGUGGAGCAUCUAAAGUGGAAAUAAGAAAAGAAAAAAUGAAAAAUAGUAUGGAAUGUGCAUGGGUUUUAAAAGUGAAGAAAAGUGGAAAAAGUUGGAAAUGAUGAGUCGUUGUGUAGUGUUCAAGGAGGGUGUAGUCACUUAUACUUAAAUGAUAUCCUAACCUUCCCUGAGCCUAUAUUACAAGCUUAACAAAGUCCUUGGAGAUUUCUAACCAAAUGGAGUGGAGUCAAUAUUGAUAGAAAAUAGGUGACAUUUGUGUGCAUGAGAUGAUUUUUAGUGAGUGCGAGUGUUGCAUCUUUGUCCUCGUAUUGUUUGUAUGUGUGGUUUCGGGAUACUUCUUUCUUGUGAGGGCAUGCAAGUUGAAAUAUUAAUGAUUUUUCUUAAUUGAGUCAAGUGAGCUAAUGAGUUGAGUCAUUUCUUGAGUUUGAGUUGUUGUCACUUAAAUGAUUCUUGAUUUUUUAUAAUGUUUCAUGUGAAUGAGAGGAUUUCUUUUGUGGAAAGUUUUCAUGUGGACUAUUUGUUGGUACCAACCGAGGCCAUUACCUUUGUGCUUAAUUGAGAAAUGGAAAUUGAUUUGUGGUGUAUCUUGAAAUAAGAAUCUCUUAUGUUUUUUGAUUUUCUUGACUUGAUGAAAAACAAACUUUCUAAGUUGGGGUGUUGAUUUGUGGUAGAUUUCUACUCAUUUGAGUCUUUUUUUCGUAGUUAUUUUGGCUUUUAGUUUAUAAUUGUUGCUUUUUGAUGUGGUUUUGCACGAAAAUUAAAUGGAGAGUUCGUACAAAAUGUUGAACGUGCAGGGUUAGCACCAUUCGAUUGUUGGCUUUGUUUUAGAGGAACCAAAACAAUGGAAGAAAAUGCUUCUACCGUCUUCAAUGUUUCACGUGCCGGAGUUUGUGGAUGCUAUUUGGGUUGCUCUGUGGGAUCCAAUGUUGGCUGUUCGGGAGAAGGUUGUUUAGACAUUGCGUGCCUGCCUU
rnacentral:lncRNA from 1 species